rnacentral:rRNA from 1 species
AGUGAACGCUGGCGGUAGGCCUAACACAUGCAAGUCGAACGGCAGCACAGUAAGAGCUUGCUCUUACGGGUGGCGAGUGGCGGACGGGUGAGGAAUACAUCGGAAUCUACUUUUUCGUGGGGGAUAACGUAGGGAAACUUACGCUAAUACCGCAUACGACCUACGGGUGAAAGCAGGGGAUCUUCGGACCUUGCGCGAUUGAAUGAGCCGAUGUCGGAUUAGCUAGUUGGCGGGGUAAGGGCCCACCAAGGCGACGAUCCGUAGCUGGUCUGAGAGGAUGAUCAGCAACACUGGAACUGAGACACGGUCCAGACUCCUACGGCAGGCAGCAGUGGGGAAUAUUGGACAAUGGGCGCAAGCCUGAUCCAGCCAUACCGCGUGGGUGAAGAAGGCCUUCGGGUUGUAAAGCCCUUUUGUUGGGAAAGAAAAGCAGCAGGUUAAUACCCCGCUGUUCUGACGGUACCCAAAGAAUAAGCACCGGCUAACUUCGUG